ACGGAGGGGGCUAGCGUUGUUCGGAAUUACUGGGCGUAAAGCGCACGUAGGCGGACCAGUCAGUGAGAGGUGAAAUCCCAGGGCUCAACCCUGGAACUGCCUUUCAUACUGCUGGUCUUGAGGAUGAGAGAGGCGAGUGGAAUUCCGAGUGUAGAGGUGAAAUUCGUAGAUAUUCGGAGGAACACCAGUGGCGAAGGCGGCUCGCUGGCUCAUUUCUGACGCUGAGGUGCGAAAGCGUGGGGAGCAAACAGG
rnacentral:rRNA from 1 species